UGGGGAAUCUUGCACAAUGGGGGAAACCCUGAUGCAGCGACGCCGCGUGAACGAUGAAGCCCUUCGGGGUGUAAAGUUCUUUCGACAGGAACGAUAAUGACGGUACCUGGAGAAGAAGCUGCGGCUAACUACGUGCCAGCAGCCGCGGUAAUACGUAGGCAGCGAGCGUUGUUCGGAGUUACUGGGCGUAAAGAGUGCGUAGGCGGCGAGCCAAGUUUGGUGUGAAAUCUCCCGGCUUAACCGGGAGGGUGCGCCGAAAACUGGUUGGCUGGAGUAUGGGAGAGGAAAGCGGAAUUCCUGGCGUAGCGGUGAAAUGCGUAGAUAUCAGGAGGAACACCUGCGGUGUAGACAGCUUUCUGGACCAAAACUGACGCUGAGGCACGAAAGCGUGGGUAGCAAACA
rnacentral:rRNA from 1 species